UUCCCUGAAUCCCCUUCUAAUCACAGUGCUCUGGGGGAGGAACACAGAAACAUCAUAUAAGCCUCUGUUUGCAGGCUUUCCAUGACUUUUGUGAGCUGUUUCUGCCUGAGCAACAACGUCUGAAAGGUACUGGACUGACUUGGCUUCCUACCUAGUCAGUAUCCUGUUAGUUACUGUUCUUGGAAAGGAUUGGAUACAGCUUAGUAACUAGAAUCCAUCUACUUAUCCCUAUCCAAUCCAUUUCUUUCCAUUUAUAUUUGUUCUUGGGUUUUUUUCCAAUGCUUUUUAAAAAGAAAGCUGUGUUUUCCCUGGCAGUGUGAUCCAUCACUGUGCAGAGAAGCACAUACAUUACACACACUCAUACACAUACAUUAUAGAAGAAGAAGUCAGAUAUUAUUACAACACAGAAGAAGUCAGACAGUCAUAGAAGAAAAAGAGAUUAUAUAUAGUUAUUAACAUUGUUAGUUAUAGUUACAUACAGACUAAAGACAACGCAGAUGAAGAAGUCAGAUUCAGAUUAACACAACAUAGAAGUCAGACAGUCGUAAAAGAAGAAGAGAUAUUAUUUUAGUUACAUAUACAACAGUAAACGCAAAACAGAAGAUGUUAGACACAGUCAUACAUCAGAGAAGAAGAAGACAUAUAUUAUUAGUUAGUUACACACACAGACACAUUUUCCAGCACAGGAAAGAUUAAUAUGAAGUGUUCUGGAAAGACAGGUGCCAGGUCUUCUGGCAGGGAAGGGAGAGGGGCUAGAAGGAGUAGGAGGAGAGCUAGAGCUGCAAAUCCCCCCACCCCAAACAUAGAUGCAUCCUCUUUCCUGGCAGCCAUGAGUCUUCUGCUGCCAGUGGAAGUGAGGAGGUAGGAGCAGUACCUGUACCUGCACAACCUCCAGAAAUAGGCACCAGCAGCAGAAUGACAGUCUCCUCCACCCCAAUUUUAUCUCCCAGCGUGAGCCUCCCACUGCCAGAGGAGGAUCUGGGUCUGGAACCAGAGGGCCUGAGCACCCUAGCUAAAGAAAUUCUGGGGACCAACGGGGAAUCUGAGUCUGUGCUCCACACCCCUCAAAGUUCCCCUAGACCCAGAUGUCCUUCUCAGGAAGGCACCUCAGAGGAGGUUGUAGAGGCAAGUGGAUCAGCUGAGUUAGCUCCUCCUGUUUUGUGCCUCUGCCUGCUGAGGAGGCAGGAUCUAGAAGUGGGGGAGUAGUGUAGUGUGGGAUCAUUUUGAGGUGGCAGAUGAUCCCAAGUAUGCUAUCUGCCAGCACUGAUGGAAGCAGAUCAGCUGGGGCAAGGAGGUGAAACGCUUCACCACCACAGCGAUGCUGCUGCAGCACCCACUUGCCCUUCUUCCUCCUCAGCCUGGCACCAGUGGGAGCAUGCCCAAAUGGAAGUCCCCUGCUUGCUGCAAAGACUUAUCCCCCAAAAGCAGAGGUAGGCCACCCUGGAGCAGUGGGGGAAAGCCACAGACAAAGGGGGUAGGGGCACAUUCAGAAGGCGAGCAAGGUCACCCAGAGCACUAGGGAGAUGUUUUCUCUGGAUGGCCAGCCCUUCUCCUUAGUUGAGCAGCCAGGGCUCAGGCAGCUCAUGGUGCUUGUGGCCUCAUCCUACCAAGUGCCCGGACACACUGCCUCUAGUCUCCUCCACAUCAGCCACUGCCAAUGUGGACCAAGGGCAUGGUUUCAAUGUUGGGGUCCAGAUGCACCAGACCCCAGCCUCAGGCAGGUAGUGGCAAGGCUUCAGUGGCUACCUAUCUCACUGAAGAUUUGGAGCCACUGGACUGUGACCCUUUGGCCUACUGGGCAACUGAAGCCGAUUUGGCCAAAUUGAUUUGGGACAGUGAUCUGAAUCUCCAAAUUGAAUCACUGUCCUCCAAAUCAGCCUAAUCCAAAUCUGAAUUGAAUACUUCCGUAUUCACACAGGCCUAUUAAACAUCCAAAUGCCUUUUGAAUUAAUCCAGAGUAGAUGCUUUCACCACCUCUGUGGGGAGCCUGUUCCAGAUCUUAGACACUCAGAGGUGGUGCAAACACCUACUCUGCACUCAGAGAAAAACACAGUCACAGAGAAAAGCCCAUCUCCAUCCUCUCUUUAGUCACCCUUCAGGUAUUUGAAGACAUCAAAUUUCUCUUCAGUUCUUUCUUCUCUAGACUAAAUAACCAUAAAUUUUUCAGUCUUUCCUCAUCAGUCAUGCUUUCCAGGUCUCUACUCAUUUUUGCCACUCUCCACAAGAUUCUAUCCAAUCUACCCAUAUCCUUCUUGAAGUUUGAAGCCCAAAACUGGACACUGUUCCAGGAACAUGAAAGGCAACUGCUACAGCUGUGUAUCUUGGAAUAAAUUGCAGAGAAGAGCUACAAAGGUUAAUCACUAUGAGUGGAACAAAUCAACUUCGCAAAAGAGGGCUUUUUCAGUCAGCAAAUUUGACAUUAAGUAAAAGUUUAAAAAAAUAUGA